rnacentral:tRNA from 1 species
GUGAAGAUGGCUCAAUGGUACAGCACUUGCUUUGCAUGCAUGAGGUCCUGGGUUUAAUUCCUGAGCACCACA